GAUGAACGCUAGCGGCAGGCUUAAUACAUGCAAGUCGAGGGGUAGCAGGGUAGCAAUACCGCUGACGACCGGCAAACGGGUGCGGAACACGUACACAACCUUCCUUUUAGUGGGGAAUAGCCCAGAGAAAUUUGGAUUAAUACCCCGUAACAUAGCGAUGUGGCAUCACAUUGUUAUUAUAGGUUUACCGCUAAGAGAUGGGUGUGCGGCUGAUUAGGUAGUUGGCGGAGUAACAGCCCACCAAGCCAACGAUCAGUAGCUGAUGUGAGAGCAUGAUCAGCCAAACGGGCACUGAGACACGGGCCCGACUCCUAGGGGAGGCAGCAGUAAGGAAUAUUGGACAAUGGACGCAAGUCUGAUCCAGCCAUGCCGCGUGAAGGAUUAAGGCCCUCUGGGUUGUAAACUUCUUUUAUAGGGGACGAAAAAAGGGCUUUCUAGCUCGUCUGACGGUACCCUAUGAAUAAGCACCGGCUAACUCCGUGCCAGCCGCCGCGGUAAUAC
rnacentral:rRNA from 1 species